CUGGCGGCGUGCCUAACACGUGCAAGUCGAGCGAGGAGAUCCUUCGGGAUGAUCCUAGCGGCGGACGGGUGAGUAACACGUGGGCAACCUGCCUCAUAGAGAGGAAUAGCCUUCCGAAAGGGAGAUUAAUACCUCAUAACAUUGCAGUUUCGCAUGGAACAGCAAUUAAAGGAGCAAUCCGCUAUGAGAUGGGCCCGCGGCGCAUUAGCUAGUUGGUGAGGUAACGGCUCACCAAGGCGACGAUGCGUAGCCGACCUGAGAGGGUGAUCGGCCACAUUGGGACUGAGACACGGCCCAGACUCCUACGGGAGGCAGCAGUGGGGAAUAUUGCACAAUGGGGGAAACCCUGAUGCAGCCAACGCCGCGUGAGUGAUGACGGCCUUCGGGUUGUAAAGCUCUGUCUUCAGGGACGAUAAUGACGGUACCUGAGGAGGAAGCCACGGCUAACUACGUGCCAGCAGCUGC
rnacentral:rRNA from 1 species